GUGUGAUCCCAGAGGCAUUCCCGGAUGGGAGGCAGUCGAUGCCUUGGCAGGGUACCUUGUCAGCCUCAACCGGACGAUAACUGCUCUUUCGAACCAAGAAAUAGCAGAUAUACUGAGGUUGUACUCCAGCCUGGAUGGAAUCGACAAGUCCCCAACAAAGUACUCCCUAAAAAAUAAGAAGACGACCUUGCCAGGGCCAUGGAGAGCUUCUCGGAAACGCAGUGGCUCUGCUCCAGGCCAACAAGCAGCCGAGAGAUUGUUCAUGGUUCAUGGCCAGGCUGCCCAUAGACCCGAUUACACCAGGGUCUCUGAGUGUGUUGCACUGAAGCUUUUCAAGGAGUUCAAGGAAGGCAGAAAUAGACCAAAAGACCCUAAGGGGAGGACAUUUCCAAUUCCUCAGGCUAUUGUUAUGACGUAUGGUCAUAUUAAACAAUUAAUUGAGGAUUGCCAACAAAUCCUGCAAAGCACCAACCUGGUACUGGUGACCAUAAAUAAUACAACAGUCUCUUCUUGGCUGCAGGAUCGGCAGAAGAGGGCCGACCGCGAUUCUCUGCUUCAAGGGGUGGAGCUUCCUCAGCAGGUCCACGUGGCCGAGGAAUCCCUCCUGGAGGCCCUGGACCUACCAUCUGAGCCUGUUCCACAUGGGCAUGCAGAUCUGGAGUUCGAGGAACCUGACAACCGUGAGGGUGAGGCGGUGAUUCGGCGACGCCGACGCAAAACUUAGGUUUCCAGCGAAGACGCUGGAGGAGAUGAUGCUUGGACUGUUCCUUUCCCCUCUUCAUCUGACCUAGCCUAUUGUGAGCAGCGUCAACACCCAGCUCCUGUGUCUCAAUCACAGAGCUGGUACCCAUACCAACCACCUUCAGCUCCAGCGUCUCAAUCUCGUGGCUGGUCCCCAUACCAGCUGCCUCCAACACCGGAGUCUCAGUAUCAGGCCUGGGCCUCUUACCAACGGCCUCCAGCCUCUCACUCUCAGGGCUGGUCGGGGCCCUCAUACCAGCCGCCGCCACCACCACCAGCAGCCCACUUUCAGAGCUGGUCCUCAAAACUGCCGCCACCACCACCUCCAGCAGCUCACUCUCAGGGCUCUUACCAGCUGCCACCAGUGCCAGAUUCUCCACCUCAGGACGGACCUUCUAACCAGCCAGAUCCAGCGUCUCACAAUCGCUACCGGGAAUGGAGGUUACAAAAGGCAGCCUUUGAGGAUCAGGAGCGAGCGAUGAGGGGUGAGCCCCCGAAGAAGCGUCAAAGUAAGGAAAGCUACCACUACCAAUGCAAAAUGUGUGGUAAGGCGAAAAGCAAACUUAUUGGCCACACACAGCUACGGGGGAAAUGGUACUGUCCAGCAUCUGGAAAGACCAUUGCAGAGUGGAAAAGCUCCUUGUAAAAAUGUAAGCAAUGUGUACAUUUGUUUCUAAGAUAUUUCUAUUGGUGUUAAAUCAUUUGUUUUAAGUGUUAAAUCAUUUGUACAAAAAAGUUCAAACAGUUGCAAGUUCACAACAUUUGUAUAGAUUGUUAAAUUCUGCAACUCUAAUAAAACAACAAAAAAAACAACUCUUGUGGUGUAACAGCAACACAGCCAUCCUUUGGGUGGAAGAUUCCAGGUG